UUUUUCUCCUGCCUUGCUUCUACUACUUACUCCAGGACAACGCUGUCUCUUCCUGCAACCCUUUGGCUCAGCAGCGGCUCACACUAACAGUACCCCAACUUGAUUAUGGGUUACAUGCGCAUUACUACUAUCACCAGAAUGCUGGCGGGGUGUGAGAAUCGUAAAGAUCAAACCUAUCCCGGACUGGGCGUGUAGGCGACAGGUAAGGUGAAAGAAAGGGUGCGACAAGCGGCUAAAACACUGGAAGGGUGAAACAGUACAAGGGAAAAUCACAGAGACAACAGACUGUUUUGCGCUACUUGCACUUCUUUCAGCCGAAAAAUGAAGAUGUUGCAAUAAAGAUUGAAGAUGGCAUGAGCAUAAU